GACUUGGCAAGUUGGGACCUCUUGAAGAGAAGGAUGUAACAGCAGGAGCUAAGGAGUUUCCAAUUAUAGUCCCCUUGAAUAAAAUGGUUGCUAUAGGUAUUGCAGUGGAAUUUAUAUAGGCUUUAAUCUUAAGUCCAGCAUCGUAGCUUACAUGUGUUGCAGGUAGAACAUGCACAUCAGCUGAGAGACUGAAGCCAUUGCUUUCAUCAUUCGCGAGAAUCAUGGCUGCACCACCUACUCUUUUUACUUCCUCUCCUUUGGGAAUUCUUCCUAUACCUCCUCCUCUCUCACACAAAACAACCUUGCCUCUGAAAUCACUAUCAUUCAAGGAUCCAUUAGCACAAAAUGCAGCUUCUUGUUUGCCAUUCUUUCCAGCAUAUGCCAAGGGUAAUAAUGUUGGAGAGAAAUCGGAAGGCUGGAAAACAGAUUCCCCAUCAAAUUCUUGCCCAUUUCCCAGCUUUGCUGUUGCUGCAAUGCUUCUGUCAAUAUUGCUUGCUCCAACUGUGAGGACCCAAGGGGCUCCAUUAAUUAAGGAGCCAUGGAAAGGGCCAGAGUUUCCUGCUGCACAACUUACAAAGAUUCCCUUCUGCAUUGCUGCAAAUGCACCUAUUGCAGUGCUAUCAUGGAAAAAUGGAGGUGGCUCGCUUAGGCCGAGGGAUAUUGAUAUUACAUCCACGCCAUCCUCCACAGCUGCAUCCAAUGCUGCCAAUAUGUCACUCUCAGGGCAGUCUUCACCAAAGCAUACUCUGUACAUUGCCAGGUGAGCGUGAGGGGCAAUCCCAGCUGCCGUUCCUUUGGCAUUUCCUAGUAAUUCUGCAUGAUCAACAAAAGCACCAGCAGCUGUGCUUGCUGUGUGAGUCCCAUGUCCAUCCUCAUCAAUUGGUGAAUCUGCUCCUUUCAUUGCCGUUGCAGCGAGGUUGAAAGACCUUGCUCCUAUUAGUUUGUUGUUACAAGCUGUCGCAUUAAGUUCGCAUUUCCCUUUCCAUUUUGGUGGUGGUGGCGGCAUUCCUGCAUCACUGAAGGAAGGAUGACCGGGUGUGAUUCCAGAAUCCACCACCCCAACAAUCACUCCCUUUCCGAAGUUUGAUUCCUUCCAAAAUCCCAUGUCUUGCUGCAACCCCAGAAAUUGUGGGGUAUGCGUGGUUUGACGAUGCAGUAUCCUUUCGGGUUGCGCAUAAAUAAAGCCAUUCUUCUUUUGCACAGCUCUCAGUUCUUCUUCCGUGAGUCUUGCAGCAAAACCACUCAUCACGUUCCGGUAUGAAUAAAUCAUCCGAGGCUGUUCCUCAGAGCUCAUAAUAGUAGGUGGCAUGAAUGAAUGAUACCAGCUCUCUAAAUCUUCUGAUUGAGCAAGAUUCUUACCCUGUGGCCCCUCCACGUGGAUAAUAUAUGUUUUUGAACUGCUUGCGGCGGAAGGUAGUUCAUUUCCAUGAGCAAAAUGAAUGUGGAAGCUCAACACGAAAUGGAGAGCAAUGAAAAAGAAAGAAUCCAUGUUCUGCUGGAUGGAGAAGAAUGAAAGGCAAAGAUUCUUUGGUUCAAUGUGCUUUAAAAACGCGCAAUAUCAAUAUAUAUAUAAGGAAGCUAGAUGCUGUAAUGAGCUUGGCCGGCAUGGUUAUAUAUGUCUUGUACUGUGAUUCUAUUUAUUCUGCGUGGUUGACUAUUAAUUGUGUUGUGCAAGUGCAACCAUUUGUAAUGUGUAUGAGGCAUAGCUCUACAUUAUGGUAAAUAGCUGUUUUUUUCCCCCUCUAAAUAACCUUUCAAGGUUUUCUUUUUGUUCAAAAUUCAUUUCACUGGCCUGUGCGAUGUAGUACCAGUUAAACAUUCCUCACCGAAGUUCUAAAACAAGAACAUUAAUAAUUUAUUUUAUUUUUCUAGAGCUGUACCGCAGGAAUGGUGAUGAUGAUCACAAUUUACAAAAUCUAACAAUUCUUCAUGUGGAAAGAAAUUUUAAAAUUGUGGAAAUAAUUAUAUAAAUAAAUUAAUUAGAAUGAAGUGAUAAUAUAAACAUUUUUAUACGCUAUUGUUCAAGUACACACUGUCGUGUACAGUAAGAUUGUUGUUUUUUUGUGAGAAGACAGAUCAAAACAAGACUAAGCCUCGACAGGCAACAUAUGUUUUUGAAGAUUCUUUGAGUAUAUAGCAAAUAUUUAUAUGGUUUUAUUCAGUUGGUGUGUUUAGACGUAGAGUAGUACAUUGCAGGCAUCAUUAAUUUUAAACGUUAGGUUCAUUCAACUUGCACCAUGUUUGGUUAGGCUAGUAAGUAUAGGCGGCUUGCCAAUUAGCGUAUUGAGCUCUUAAUACCAAAGUGAUGAUUGUUGUUAUUAUUACCAUAUAUAAUUCUCCUCUGUUGAGUUAGAGAAGUGCAAACAUCAAUAACGACUUCAAAUUCAAAUUGAUUGAAAAAUAAAAAGAGUCACUUAGAGAGGAUCUAGAAGACACUAUAUUAGUUAAAGGGAAAGUUAAAUUAAUUGGGAGAAUUCUAUCAGUUGAACCUCUUUAAACUCAACAGAGAAGAGAAAAGCCGGGUAAAAGAGCAUUGUCCUUAUUCUACCAUUUGUCCAUUUCUUAACAAUAGAUAGAUGCACAUUUCUCUAUAUUUAUUCUCUUGUUUCCUAUCUCUCGUUAUAUGUUUUCAGCCAUAUUCUAUAACUGUGUUGUUUUGUCUUAUUAGAGCAUUAACACAGCCCUUAAUAUCUGAUUAACUUUUUUUACGCACACUAAAACUGAGAGUUGUGCAAAAAUGUAAGGUUUUAAGUCAUGCAAUUGCAAUGGCAUAAAUUUCCUCAAGUUGUUUGUUAUUUGUUGGCUUUAAAAAAAAGUUAUUUGUGGUCUUAAUGUUGUUUAUAGUAGUGUUCGGUUGUUUUAAUCACUUUAUAUUGAUGAGUGAUGGGGACAUCUAUAACAAUAACAAAUCUCAUUUUAAGAAAGUUAAAAAUAAUAUCUCACAACAAUACAAUUAUUCAUAAAAUACUAAAAUUAAAUACUAGUUACUGAAAAAGCUAUGUAUAUUUAUCUUUUAGUUUCAUAUAUAAAUUUAAUAAACUACGUUUGCUUAUUUUUAGGAGUAAGUUAAUAAAUUAUAAUUAUUUUAAAAUAUACCUAUGUGGUAACAUAUUAACUUAUUUCUAAAAUAUAAGUGGGUGUAUACAUUCAUUUAUUUUUUAGAAAUAAUUUAUUCUUUUAGAAAGGAUAAGUUAACAAAUUAUAACUAUUUUUUUCUAAAAAAUAAAGAUACAUCCCAUGCGUAGGUUGGUAACUUUUACUAGUGAUGAAAACAGUCAGUUGGUUUAAGUUGAUUAGCAAAUCUCAUAUAUACAUGUAUAACAAUCAAUAUUUAUUCUCGUCGAUCUCACAUAAAAAAAUUAUGAUUCCUAUUUCUUAUAAUAAGAAAGUUCUCACUUAAUAUGUUUUUUUAUAGAUUUAAAUAUCAUUUUAUUUCCUUCAAUUGUAUUUUUUAAUUUGGUAUCUAUAGUUUAAAACAUGUCAAUUUAGUUCCUGUAAUUGCAUUUUUAUCCAACUUUUUAUUAACCACCACAUAUUACUGUUCAUUGAACUUUCCUCUUCUACCCUUGACAUAUUACUCAUUCUAUUGUUCAUCAACCCCAGCCUUCAACAGUAACAAACCACCACCACCAAAAACAACUGUCCUAUACACACCUUUUAUGAUUUUUUUUCCUCUCUAAAUAACAACUAUUCUAACAUCACAAAUCCAACUCUCCCCUCGAAAUUUAGGCACAUCAUCGAACAAACGACGUUAACAAUGAUUUCACAACGAGCCCAAAUUGAAAAAAAAAACACAACUAUAAGAACUAAAUUGACAUAUUUUAAACUAUGAUACCAAAUUGAAAAGUAAGCACAAAUAUAAGGAUCAAAAAGAGUAUUUAAACUUUCAUAUAUGUGUGUGAGGGGUUUAGCUAACAUGUGCACAUGUUAUUAUAGGUAUUAGUUUUGAAAUUUUAUUAUUUUUUCCUAAUUUUUAAAAUUAAUUUGAUCUUUUUGAAUUUAAAAAACAAACAAAGUAUGUGAAUAGUAAGUUUAUACGCGGUUAUAAUAACUAUUUUAAAGUCAUAUCUAAAAUAUUUUUCAAUUAAUUGAUAAUAGUGUAAAAAUCUUAAUUCUGUUAUAUAUUAAAAAAAACAGUUUACUGUCUUCGAUUGUCUUAUUACAAGUUAGCAUUUUGGCACCAAAUAGUUUGAGAAAACGCGGGAAGGCACCCCAGAGCAAAAGCCCAGUUGCUAAAACCGUAAAACGUUGGUUCUCCAAUCCCAUGCCCUUUUAGAAUUCAUCAUCCAUGCUCUGAUCAAAUCAUCAAAAAGUGGAUCUUCUUUUUUCUCUUUAGUCCUUUUCCACAUUAACCCUAAAAUAAGGAAACUUGCAGCUAUACCAAUAGUUCAAUACCAACUUCUAGCCCCAUCCACAAACCUUUGUUGCCCUCUUGUUUAGGGCUAAUAUUAGCAUUGGGAAUUGGUGAAGGACUAGGAUUUGGGAUUGGUGAGGCUGUUACCAACCCUACUCUACUGCUAUACUACUGCUAAGGAACUAAGAAGGAAAACUAAUUGAGAUAAUUGUUCUGAUUGAUUAUUCAUUCCACUUCUUUUACAUAUUUAUACUAAUGUUCUAACAGAAUCGAAAUUGUUAUAACAGAAUUAUCACAAUCAACAAACUAGUGGAAUGCUGUAACAAGAGUCUGUGCAACCAAUUUAGUGCCCUCGUGCCUUUGGAGCCUCAAACGAAUUCCUGUAAGUAAGUGGGCUUCUUAAUAACUCUUCUUGGCCCGCUAUUGUUGUUGCUAUUUGUUUCUGUGAUGUGGCCUGUGUUGGUAUCCGCUGAAUUGCUAUCAAUAUUGCUGCCUUCAAGGUAUCUGAUUUGACACAGCCUCAUUACUUUGUAAAACUUCAAUGGAAUAAUGACCAUGACGGCAGACAGUGUGUUCAUCUUAAACACUAAAACAUGUGGCAAGGUAAGAGGAAUUGAUUUUGACUUUUUUCUUUUCAUUGUUAAAUGUUAAUUAUGAAUAUAUCUUUUUUAUUUUGGUUGUUCUUUUUUAAAGCAUUUAUGCGUAUAGUACAAAAUAUAAAUCAUUUUUCUUGUAUCUGUAUAAUCUUUGGUAUAGUGGCCAUUUUGAUUAAGUGUUUUUUGGGGUUGAUCAAUCUGUGUGCUUGAAAACUGAUAGGAAACCAGAUUCAAUGGAGAGGCCUCUUAAGUCUUAAGGUUAUGGACAGAGAAAGGGUAACUGGUUCUGCUAUAUGGUAGGGGAGAGAAUAGUGUAGGAUCAUGUAGAGAAUAUCUUGGUAAUUGGAGUCUAGAGUAGUUAUUCUGAUUUGGAUGGUUUCAUCUUUACUUGUACUGCCUUUUAAUUCAGAAAUCCUUAAUACAAAUUGAGACACUGAUAGGAAACUCCUAUAAAAAAACCAUGUCUAAGUAGUAACUAGCAAGUACUUAACAUGGAGUAUAAGCAUCUUUAAAAUUGAUGAUUCACACAAAUUGAUCAAUUAGUUCGUAAGUAUUGUAGAUUUGGCUACUUAAAAAGUUUCAGUUGAGAGAAAUAUCUGGCAACUAUCUGCAUUUUCUAUUAAGCUUGGUUAUUUAACACCCAUGUAAUUUGUUCAUUUUUAAUGUUGCAUCAUCCUUUCCAUGUUAACAUCUGUUUGAUUGCAUAUUUUGAACAAAAUAAUCUUUCAUUGUUUGGUUGGCUGACAAAUUCUACCUAUAAAGAGAUUUUAUUAUUCUAUUUCAUUUUUCACAUUCAUGACCAAACUUGGAUGGAAGAUUUUAAAGGAGUUCUAGUUUAAAUUUUCCUUAUUCGAUGAUUGAAUGAAAAUAGAAAAGAAAAUGUUGUGGUAUGAUUGACACUUGCCACUUAAUACCAGUUGUAGCUAGCAAGGCAAUUAUCUGACCAUUGCACUAGUCCUACUGUAGUACUGUUCGGUGCUUGCUAGCAGUGUUGUCUUAUACAAAGUUGACCGAGAUAGGGCUCCUUACAAUGUGUUUGGCAGAGACCCAUUGUAAAAACCCUUGAACAUAUUUCACAGUUUCAUUACCCGACUUUAUACGGCUGAAUGUCACUGAAUACGUGUCUUUCUGGUUUGCUUCUGAAAAGUAAAGUUUAUUUGGCUGGACCCUCACUUCAACCCCUUCUGGUGCCAUAACCAUGACAACAUAAGAUGAGUUGGCCUCACCCACAUUUGUCACAGUCCUUGUGAAUGUCUGCGGGGAACCAAGCACAACAGAAAAUGAAGGAUAGUUAAGCUCUCCUUCGGGAAUGCUUGAAGUCUCAGAACACUUAAUUGUUUUGUGUGCAAUGAUCCCAACUUGGGUAUCGCUGUACCCUAGACCACACAGAUAAGGUAUAUAAUCAUCAGGUUGAAUAUCAUAAACUAACCCAGGGUCAUUUGCUCUUGAUGGAUUCACAUGACCAGAACCUGUGGCAAAAACAUCUGCAGGGUGAAGUGUUUCAUCAACAAUGAGUUUGCGUUCAAAAUUGAUUAUGUCUGCAGAAGUCAUUAUGGCAGAUUUUAUGGCAGCUGGUGACCAAUGAGGAUGAGAGCUUUUGAGCAAAGCAGCUAUGCCACUAAGAUGUGGGCAUGACAUUGAUGUGCCAGACAUAAAGUUGAAAGUGGAUUUUGAAUCAGUAUCGUUAUUCAGAGGGAAUGGCCAGGCAGCUAGGAUGUUCACGCCUGGUCCUAUGAUGUCUGGUUUCAAAAUACCAGGACUUGGCAAGUUGGGACCUCUUGAAGAGAAGGAUGUAACAGCAGGAGCUAAGGAGUUUCCAAUUAUAGUCCCCUUGAAUAAAAUGGUUGCUAUAGGUAUUGCAGUGGAAUUUAUAUAGGCUUUAAUCUUAAGUCCAGCAUCGUAGCUUACAUGUGUUGCAGGUAGAACAUGCACAUCAGCUGAGAGACUGAAGCCAUUGCUUUCAUCAUUCGCGAGAAUCAUGGCUGCACCACCUACUCUUUUUACUUCCUCUCCUUUG
rnacentral:lncRNA from 1 species